CCAAAGGCUCUUUUCAGAGCCCCCACUUUUUCAAAAGAAGAGUUG
rfam:Mus musculus chromosome 13, GRC primary reference assembly.